rnacentral:lncRNA from 1 species
AUUGUUCUGCCUGGCUCUGACAUGGACUUUUCAUCUCUCUCCUCUCUCCCCACCUAGCCCCGUGCAUUCCGAUUCCACAGCCCCCCCAAAAUCGGAGGCUCGCGGAGAAUAAAGGAGCGUGGGGUGGGCGCGGAAAGAAAUGGGAAGGGGCGCGGGGCGGAGAGCGAAGUGGAAAGGAGGUGCUCCGAAAGCUCUUUAUUUUCCAUGUGUGAGCCUGUGCCUGUGGUUUAUCUCUGGAGGAUGUGCCUGAGGGAGGAGACAUAUACUGCCUGGACUGCCUGGCUGAUGUGAGCUAGUUUGUCUGGUUGAGUUGGAUGUUUAAAUAGAAGGCAGAACAACAACAGGGUCUUGCUCUGUUGCCCAGGCUGGAGUGCACUUGCAGUAGCAUAAUCACAAUUCACUGCAGCCUCAACCUCCCAGGCUCAAUCAUUCUUCCUGCCUCAGCCCCCAAAGUAGCUGGGACUACAGGCAUGCACCACCAUGGCUGGCUAAGUUUUAAAACUUUUUUGUAGAGACAUGGUCUCUCUGUGUUGCCCAGGCUGGUCUAGGACUCCUGGGCUCAAGCAAUCCUCCCACCUCAGCCUCCCAAAGUGCUGAGAUUACAGGUGCAAACUAUCUCACCCAGCCUUUAAUCUUUUUAUUAGUGAGAUAUCUGACCCAACGGCUAGGAUCUGAUGGUCUUUUUAGUAUGGCCUCAAAUCAC